rnacentral:rRNA from 1 species
AUCCAGACUCCUACGGGAGGCAGCAGUGAGGAAUAUUGGUCAAUGGGCGCGAGCCUGAACCAGCCAAGUCGCGUGAGGGAUGACGGCCCUACGGGUUGUAAACCUCUUUUGCCGGGGAGCAACGGGCGCCACGUGUGGCGCCACUGAGAGUACCCGGAGAAAAAGCAUCGGCUAACUACGUGCCAGCAGCCGCGGUAAUACGUAGGUGGCGAGCGUUGUCCGGAUUUACUGGGCGUAAAGGGAGCGUAGGCGGAUUUUUAAGUGAGAUGUGAAAUACUCGGGCUCAACUUGAGUGCUGCAUUUCAAACUGGAAGUCUAGAGUGCAGGAGAGGAGAAUGGAAUUCCUAGUGUAGCGGUGAAAUGCGUAGAGAUUAGGAAGAACACCAGUGGCGAAGGCGAUUCUCUGGACUGUAACUGACGCUGAGGCUCGAAAGCGUGGGGAGCGAACAGGAUUAGAUACCCCUGUAGA